rnacentral:pre_miRNA from 1 species
UCUUAUGGAUGAGCAAAGACAAGUUGUUUGUUGACAUGGAAUCUACUCCUGGUAAAGAUGCUGUGAGAA